rnacentral:lncRNA from 1 species
GGGAGAUAAUCAGAUUGGGGAUAUAAUGAACAAAACUCCUCUAUUUAUAAGGAAAAAUACUUUUAGUUUCAGACUAAAAGAUAGAUACUUCAAAUCCUGAUAGAUAUCAACUAGAUCUUGAUAGAUCUUAUUAGAUCUUAACAGAUAUUAUCUAUAAUAGACAUUCGCUAUAAUAUAAAUACAUUUAUAACACUCCCCUUGAAUGUCUAAUUGAUAGAUUAUGCAGCUCGUUAAAACCUUACUUCCAGUGAAAAAAAUCCAGUGAAUAAAAAACAAUAUACAUCUCUAAUAAUAUGUAUUUCGCCUGCCUCAUUAGAAACCUUACAAAGAAAACCCAGUGGGACAAAAUCUCGUAAGGAAAAAAGAAUACAGAGUGUAAUAACUUUCCCUAAUGGGAACAUCCUUAAACCUUUGCAUACUGAUCUUGUGUACAUCUUCUUGAAAGUUGCAGUUGGUAAUGUAUUAUAAAAUAACAAAGAAUUAAAAAAAUUAGUAGAGAAGAAGCUUCUUUAUUUCUCAUGAGAGAUGAGAGAUCAUAAGAUUCUUUUUUUUAAUAAACAUAAAUAUAUCCAACACAUAAUUGCAAAACAUAAUUAAUAUUCUGGAGACUCAUUUGAGUUGGCCGUGGUGUGCUAACUUUGCUAUCUAUAGCUUUCCUCAAUCACGUCCGCUGAUAUGGUUACCCACCAAUUGAAUGAUUUUACUUGCUGAUUAGAAUCUCGUGCUAAUAACGUGUUAUGAAAUAUAAAGUGUGCUAAUAACGUGUUAUGAAAUAUAAAGUAAGAACAACAGGAAUAAAUAGAGAGAAAAGAGGAGACUUCUGUAUUUCUAUGAGAG